CGCUCUGUCUCUAUAGUUUAACAUUAAAUAACAUCAUAUUUGUCCUAAAUCGGUAACGAUUAACAAAGGCUGCUUACGCAUAUUCUGGAUCUUGAAAUAGACUUUGACUAAGCUCACGCUAUUUAACGUGCACGUGCGGUGUGCAAUACUUGCGAGUUGUCAUACACGCAGCACUUCUCGCCCGGAAAACCCCCUUGAAGCACCGGCUAGCCUUUCAAGGGACAUAUUAUGAUUAAAGAUAUUGGACUUUGUUAUUAUGAGACUAUCCAUCUUUAACCAGAAGCCCCGUCUCAGACUAAUACAGUAGGACAUGUAAAGCAUGAUUUUGAAGAUAGGUUAACAUGAUGACGACGUUGGAGAUGAUGUACAACACAAGGAUGGUGAUGCCGACACCAAGAGCAGAUUGGUUAAGGAUGCGCGCCAUUCUGGAGUUUGACUCUGCUAUUUGUUGAU